rnacentral:rRNA from 1 species
AGUCGAGGGGUAUGGUUCUUCGGAACCAGAGACCGGCGCACGGGUGCGUAACGCGUAUGCAAUCUGCCUUUCACAGAGGGAUAGCCCAGAGAAAUUUGGAUUAAUACCUCAUAGUAUAGCGACAUCGCAUGAUGAUGCUAUUAAAGUCACAACGGUGAAAGAUGAGCAUGCGUCCCAUUAGCUAGUUGGUAAGGUAACGGCUUACCAAGGCAACGAUGGGUAGGGGUCCUGAGAGGGAGAUCCCCCACACUGGUACUGAGACACGGACCAGACUCCUACGGGAGGCAGCAGUGAGGAAUAUUGGUCAAUGGGCGCAAGCCUGAACCAGCCAUGCCGCGUGCAGGAUGACGGUCCUAUGGAUUGUAAACUGCUUUUGCACAGGAAGAAACACUGAUUCGUGAAUCAGCUUGACGGUACUGUGAGAAUAAGGAUCGGCUAACUCCGUGCCAGCAGCCGCGGUAAUACGGAGGAUCCAAGCGUUAUCCGGAAUCAUUGGGUUUAAAGGGUCCGUAGGCGGUCUGGUAAGUCAGUGGUGAAAGCCCAUCGCUCAACGGUGGAACGGCCAUUGAUACUGCUGGACUUGAAUUAUUAGGAAGUAACUAGAAUAUGUAGUGUAGCGGUGAAAUGCUUAGAGAUUACAUGGAAUACCAAUUGCGAAGGCAGGUUACUACUAAUGGAUUGACGCUGAUGGACGAAAGCGUGGGUAGCGAACAGGAUUAGAUACCCUGGUAGUCCACGCCGUAAACGAUGGAUACUAGCUGUUGGAAGCAAUUUCAGUGGCUAAGCGAAAGUGAUAAGUAUCCCACCUGGG